rnacentral:rRNA from 1 species
GAGUUUGAUCGUGGCUCAGGAUGAACGCUGGCGGCGUGCUUAACACAUGCAAGUCGAACGAAGCGCCUUAUUUGAUUUUCUUCGGAACUGAAGAUUUGGUGACUGAGUGGCGGACGGGUGAGUAACGCGUGGGUAACCUGCCCUGUACAGGGGGAUAACAAUCAGAAAUGACUGCUAAUACCGCAUAAGACCACAGCACCGCAUGGUGCAGGGGUAAAAACUCCGGUGGUACAGGAUGGACCCGCGUCUGAUUAGCUGGUUGGUGAGGUAACGGCUCACCAAGGCGACGAUCAGUAGCCGGCUUGAGAGAGUGAACGGCCACAUUGGGACUGAGACACGGCCCAAACUCCUACGGGAGGCAGCAGUGGGGAAUAUUGCACAAUGGGGGAAACCCUGAUGCAGCAACGCCGCGUGAGUGAAGAAGUAUUUCGGUAUGUAAAGCUCUAUCAGCAGGGAAGAAAGUGACGGUACCUGACUAAGAAGCCCGGCUAACUACGUGCCAGCAGCCGCAGU